UACGUAGGUGGCAAGCGUUGUCCGGAAUCAUUGGGCGUAAAGCGCGUGUAGGCGGCUCGGUAAGUCCGCUCUGAAAGCCCGGGGCUCAACCCCGGGAGGCGGGUGGAUACUGUCGAGCUCGAGUCCGGAAGAGGCAAGUGGAAUUCCCGGUGUAGCGGUGAAAUGCGCAGAUAUCGGGAGGAACACCAAUGGCGAAGGCAGCUUGCUGGGACGGUACUGACGCUGAGACGCGAAAGCGUGGGGAGCAAACAGG
rnacentral:rRNA from 1 species